rnacentral:lncRNA from 1 species
CUAUGAAAAUUCCAGUGAUAUUUUUUGCAGAAAGAGUUAAAAAAAAAUCCUAAAAUUCGUAUAGAAUCUCAAGGGACCUCAAAUAGCCAAAAAGAACUUGAAAAAGAACAAAACUGGAGGAUUUACACCCCUGAUUUCAUGACUUACUAUAAAGCUAUAUAAAAAGGGUGUGGCAUUGGCGUAAACACAGAUAUAAAGACCAAUGGAAUAGAAAAGAGAGCCUGAAGAUAAAACCUCACAUAUAUGGUCAAAUGAUUUUUGACAAGGGUACCAAGACCAUUCAAUAGGAAGGGACAGUCUUUUCAACAGUUAAUGCUGGGGGAGUUCCUGAAAUGGCUCAGUGGUUAACGAGUCUGACUAGGAACCAUGAGGUUGUGGGUUUGAUCCCUGGCCUUGCUCAGUGGGUUAAGGAUCCGGCGUUGCCGCGAGCUGUGGUGUAGGUUACAGACGCGGCUCGGAUCCAGCGUUCCUGUGGCUCUAGCGUAGACCAGCAGCUGUAGCUCCGAUUGGACCCCUAGCCUGGGNAAAAAAAAAAAAAAAAAAAAAAAAAAAAAAAGCAGUUAAUGCUGGGAAAACUCGGUCUUUACGUGCAAAAGAAUGAAGGUGGACUUUUACCGAACUCCAUAUACAAAAAUUAACUCAAAUUGGAUCAAGAACCUAAAAUAUAAGGCCUCAAACAAUAACUUUUAGAAAACAUAAGACAAAACUUUAAGAUGUUGGAUUUGGCAGUGAUUUCUUAGAUAUGACACCAAAGGCACAGGUAAGAAGAGAAAUAGACAAAUUGGACUUCAUGACAAUUUUUUUAAUGAGUGCAUCAAAUACACUACAGAGUAAAUAACAACCCAUAGAAUGAGAGGAAAUAUUUGCCAAUCAUGUAUCUGAUAUAGGAUUAAUAUCCAGAAUAUAUAGAGAACUCCUAAAAGACAACACAAAAACAAACAAAAAAUUCAAAAGUUGACAAAGGAUUUAAAUAGACAUUUCUGAAAAAAGGAUUAUACAAAUGGCCAAUAAUCACAUGAUAAGAUAUUCAACAUCAGUAAUUAUUAGGAAAAUGUAAAUUCCCAAACCAGAAAACAACCAGUGCAGGUGAAGAUUUGGAGAAAUCGGGACACCUGUGCACUCUUGGUGGGAGGGUAGAAUGAUGAAACUGCUGUGGGAAGCAGCAUGGCAGCACAUGCAAAACUAAAAAUAGAGUUACCAUAUGUUCCACCAGUUCCACUUCUGCUAUAUAUCCAAAAGAACUGGAAGCAAGGUCUUGAAGAGAUAUUUGUCCACCAUGUUCAUAGCACCAUUAUUCACAGUAGCUAAAAUGUUGAAGCAACACAAGUGUCCAUCAACUGAUGAAUAGAUAAGCAAAUUCUACAUACAUGCAAUGGAAUAUUACUCAGCCUUUAAAAGGAAGAAAAUUUUGCAUUAUACUACAACAUGGGUGAACCUUGAGGACAUUAUGCUGAGUGAAAUAAGUCAGUUACAAAAGUAUAAAUACAGUGUGACUCCACUUAUAUGGGGUACUUAGAACAGUCAAAAUUAUAAAGACAGAAAGUACAGUGGUGGUUGCCAUGGGGUAGGGGAGGAGAGUCUGAGGAGCUGGUGUUUAAUGGGUAUUGAGUUUCAGUUUCAUGAGAUGGAAAAAUUUAUGGAGAUGGAAGGUGGUGAUGGUGCACAACACUGAGUGCAUUUAAUAUCUCUGACACGGACAUGUAGAAUCGUUAAGAUGGGAGUUCCCACUGUGGCUCAGGGGCGAUGAACCCGACUAGCAUCCAUGAGGAUGCAGGUUUGACCUCUGGCCCUGCUCAGGGCGUUAAGGAUCCAGCAUUGCCACAGCUCUGGUAUGGGUCAAAGGUGCAGCUGGGAUCUGGUGUUGCUGUGGCUGUGGCGUAGGCUGGCAACUGUAACCCCAUUUGACCCCUAGGAACUGUCAUAUGCUGUGGGUGUAGCCCUAUAAUGAAAAAAAAAAAGGUUAAAAUGGUAAUUGCUAUGCUGUGUGUAUUUUACAUUACAAAAGUGGAAAAAAGUAAAAACUUUGGUACAAUCAUGCUAUGGAAUAUUACUCAGCAAUAGAAAGACAUGAACCGUUUACACCCAACUUGCAUAACUCUGCAGUGAAUUAUGCUGAAAAAAAUCCCAUCCCAAAAGUUUACAUUCUGUAUAGUUUCACCUGUAUGGCAUUCUCAAAAUGACAAAAUAGUGGAAAAGGAGAACAGAUUAGUGGUGCCAGGGCUUAGGGAAGAAAAAGAGAGAAGUGAGUCUAACCAUAAAAGGACGGAUGAGGCAUUCUUGUGGUUGUGGAAUGUUCUGUGUCUUCGCUGUGAAUUGCUGGUUGUGACAUUUUACUAGAGUUUUGCAAAUAUCACCAUUGGGGAAAACCGGGUGAAGAGCACACUGGAUAUCUCUGAAUUUUUCUUCUAUUUGCAUGUGAAUCUUUUUAUCUUAAAAUAUGUUUAAUAAUUAAAAAACAAAAAUACUAAUAUAAAUGAGUGAAUAAAUAAGGUGUAUCAGUUACUCCAGUACUUUAGCUUCUGAGUACAUUGCAGAGCAUCAUAAAUAUUUAUUGGGAACUUACCAUGUGCAGAACACUGUUUUAGCCCAAGAUACAGCAACAAACAAUGACAAUUUAAAAGAACAAUAAGCACAAGCCGUACUCCAAUUGAUGCAUCUCUUUUCAAGUUUAUUUAACAUUAGUUUUAGCCUUAAUGAUCAAAGUGUUUGCUGGAUUUGUUUUCUGAUAGGAAUGUUAUGACUGGAUUUUAAAAUUAAGUGAGUUAUAAACACAUUCAUUUGCGAAUAACUGCAAUGACUCAAAAGCAUAUUACUUAAUUAUCUUUGGGUCAGAUUAGUAGACAGACAGACGCUUCACCCAGGUAAAGGUGCUCAUUUACCUUUCCUGUGACAGACUCUGGCUAUAACAUUUAUUCACGUAAUAGGUAUAAACAUUUGUUUGGUUAAAAUAGCACUGGACUGGACUUCCAGUCCUAGCUCAGUGGUAUGAACUCGACUAGUAUCCAUGGGGAUGCAGGUUCAGUCCCUGGCCUUGCUCAGUGGGUUAAGGAUCCAGCCUUGCUGUGAGCUGUGGUGUAGGUCACAGUUGCGACUCAGAUCCCGCAUUGCUGUGGCUAUGGCGUAGGCCGGCAGCCACAGCUUGAACUCAGCCCCCUAGCCUGGGAACCUCCAUAUGCCAUGGGUGCAGCCCUAAAAAGACAGAAAAAAAAAAAAAAAGGCACUGGAUGAUUUUAAUGAAUUUCUUAAUAGAAGGUAAGGGAUAUUUUAAAAUUUAUUUAUUAUUCAAAUAAAUUUGGCAAUACGCCAUCCUCUCUCAACUUGUGAGCCAAUAAGAACAUGGAGAAUCUAUCCUUGAAUUUAUCAGUCAUUUAAAACUAUUCACUUAGAAUGGGUAAGCAAUGAAGUCCUGCUGUAUAGCACAGGGAACUAUAUCCAGUCUCUUGGGCUAGACCAUGAUGGAGAAUAACAGAAGAAACGGAAUGAAUGUGUAUGUGUGGCUGUACAGCAGAAAUUGGCACAACACUGUAAAUCAACCAUAAUUUUUAAAAACUCUGCAAAAUAAUCAGGAUCCAAAGCUAUUUUUUGCAAUAUUUAUCACCUAUUGAUGGUAAAUUAUUAAAAUUCCUAUGGGUCAUAUUAUUUAAUUUGGAGUUAAUUAAAAUGAAACUGUAUAAAUAGAAUGUUGUAUAAAUGCAUGUGCUAAGUGUUGAUAUGGCUAAGGCGUUGUAAUGCAUGCUGGUUCAGAUAAAAUAAAGGAUCCUUCUUCCUAAUCUGUGUAUACACUCAUCCACGCAUAAGCGUGUGUAUAAUGUGGGUUAUGUAUUUAACAUGCACAUAGUUCAAAGGAAUGAACAUUUAGUUAAAAUUAUAAAACUUAACUCCUAAUUCUGGGUAUUCCCAUAAAUAACUAAAUGAAUUUGUUCACAUCAUUUAAUUUUUUUGAGUCUCAGUUUCCUCAUCAGUAAAAUGAUAUAAAAAUAUCUGCCUUUUAUCUUUUAUAUGUCAUCAUAAAAAUCAAAUUGGGAGUUCCCACUGUGGCUCAGUGGGUUAUGAACCCGACUAGUAUCCAUGAGUAUGUGGAUUUGAUCCCUGGCCUUGCUCAGUGGAUUAAGGAUCCGGCAUUGCUGUUAGCUGUGGUGCAGAUUGCAAACUUGGCUUGGAUCUGGUGUUGCUGUGGCUCUGGUGCAGGUCAGCAACUGCAGGUCUGAUUUGACCCCUAGCCCGGGAACUUCCAUAUGCCACAGGUGUGGCCCUAAAAAAAAUAAAAUAAAAAAAUAAAACUGAGGAGUUCCCUGGUGGCCAAGCAGUUAAGGAUCUGACAUUGUCACUGCUGUGGCUCAGGUCACUGCUGUGGUGUGAGUUCAAUCCCUAGCCCCAGAACUUCUGCAUGCUGUGGCCGUGGACAAAAAAUCAAAUUAAGAAGCAGAUAUGAGCAAGAUUUCAUAAGUAGAGAGGGUUCUUCAAACACAACCUUUCAUUAUAAAACAUGGCAGAAUUUUGCGAUAAACUCAAUUUAGUUAACAAUUUUUGAAUGACUAAAUAAACUUUUAAACAUAUGAUUAGUAGAAAAGUAAGGGCAUGUUACAGAUGCCCAUAGGUCACUCUCCAAAUGUCUACAGGUGCUCCUGAGCAAUUUAUCCUCUUCUAAUUAAGCUUGUUUUGCUUCAAUAUAUGAACAACCAAGAAAAAUGAUAAUUUAUCAUGGCACUUUGUUCUCCGUUAUGUUUAAUUAUAUUAACAUUAACUAUGUUUAAUUAUGACUUAUUAACACUAAUUUUAAAAGCUUAUUCUGUCCUGAGAAUAAACUAAGAGAAUAGGAAAAACAUAACCUCCUUGCCGGAGGGGAACAUUUCUCCCAUUGACACGUUACUUGAGAUCAUACUAUUUAAUAACAGCUCCAGUGCUGUUACUAGUACAGUCGCUGAAAUGAUUCCACCAGCUCCACAGCACUGUAAAUAUAAUAGUUCUUUUGGUUUUUUCAACCCGUGGCAUAUGGAAGUUCCCAGGCUAGGUGUUGACUCGGAGCCAUAGCUGCCAGCCUGCACUGCAGCCACAGCAACGCAGGAAGCGUCAGCAACCUACUCCUACACCACAGCUCACAGCAAUGCCAGAUCCCUAACCCACUGAGCGAGGGCAGGGAUUGAACCCACAUCCUCAUGGAUACCAGUCAAAUUCAUUUCCGCUGGGCCAUGACAAGAACCCCCUAUUUGUUUUUUGACGCAGCUCAAAUUGACACAGAUUCAGCUACUUGUGGGCUAAACAGUGUUUGUGAUGGGUUACAUUAUCGACCUUUUAAUACUCUUGUCUCUACGGGAGGAUAUGUUUCAGGUUCCCUUAAUUUUAUUUAUAAGUGAACUUUGGAAACAUAUCCAUUUGUAAUAUGCCUAUACCCUCAUGUAACAAUAUUGCUCUAUCUUUUAUUAAAAAUGCAUUGCAUUUAACUACAUAUGAUAUGAUAAUAAUUAAAAAACAAAGAAUGCUUUUCUAGUAUUUCCUUUUCCUAUUUAGAAGCAUCUAGGUCAUUCUCUGCUCUGUGCUUCAGAAGAAGGCUGAGGACAAAAAAAAAAAGAUAGAUUCAAGAAGGUAUUUCCUGGCAUUUGGGGAUCAGCCGCUCAGGCCUGAAUAGAGGAGUGGAUGGGGAGGAAGUGAAAUGGACUCCGUUCAAAGACAAUAAAGCUGAUUCAGGGCAGCACCUGAUGUUGCAAGAGCCAUGCUUCCUGGUUCCUUCUUACCUCCAGACCGGAUAACAACCUCCUGGGCCCAGACUGGAAGAGGUGUCGGAAAGGAGAUUAGAGGUGAGUAGAUGCUGAUGAUGGUGGGUGUCAAGGCCCUGCCCCUCUGCUUUCAGUGCACCCUGGAGACCCGGUAGGAAAGGGAGGCAGCAGCCAUCAUGAUAGGCUUGGGCUCUGAAGACAUCCUUACAGAUCUUCCCUCAGCAAGGGCCAGCAUCAUAGACGAGUGCCUCAGAGCUGGUGCUGGACCCCUACUGACGGGAAAAGGACUCAGCAAAGAGCAGCAGGCACGAUGACCAGAGGCCAGAGGGAGCAAGGACAAUGUAGCAGAUGCCGUGUUGACAGAUGACAGCCAGAAAUCCACAGCUGCCACACAUCCUCCUGUGCCUCAUGUGGCUCCGGGAACCUAGGUGGGAGCCUGCAUAAAUGAGUGGGCAGAAAAUCCAAACUGAGUGGGCGAAAGGAGAGCUGGGAAUAUUUUCCUGCAAACAUUAGGAAUUAAAUGGACAUUAGCAAGCAAGGCGGUCUUCAUAAACAUUCUAACACCCCUCUUAAGAAAGAAUAUUUUGGUUAUAAACCACAGUCUUAGGAAUAAUUUAUUUUGCAUUAAAAUACAUGUUUAAACUUAGGGAUUGUAUUGAUUUUUUGUAUAAAUCUCUUGAGUAGAAAGUAAAUUAUAGAAUAUUAUGUACAUUUUGAUAUCUAAAUAAAAAGAAUAGGAAACAAUAUGUUAUUUUUCAUACAAAACCAUAAAAAUACAGUAAGAAUUUACACCAAAUUUAUUGGAGAAGUUCCUUUGGGGAGGAAGCAAGUGAGACAGGGGUUUCAAGUAUAGCUAUAAUGUUUGUUUUUAGGAAAAAUAGUUAAAACAUAUUAAAAUAUGUAAAACUCACUCUUAUUCUUCCUCGCUUUCAGAAUAAGCCUUUAGUAAAAAUGCCAGUGUUAUCAUCUACUAGUUUCUUUUUCCCUCAGUGGCAGUUGAUAUUGAUGACGACAGGGAAGUUCAAGUAUCUACAGAAAUGUGUUGAUGGAGUCCCUGGUGGCUCAGUGGAUUAGGAAUCUCAUGUUAUCACUGUGUAGUUCAGGCUGCUGCUGUGACAGGGUUUGAUCCCUGGCCUGAGAACUGCAUGCCAUGGAUGUGGCCAAAAAAAAAAAAAAAAAAA